rnacentral:lncRNA from 1 species
CCGUUCCCUACAUUGCCAAGGCAGAAAACAGGAUUCCAAUCUGCAUUUCUUUAAGUAUCAGCCAAGAAGCUGACAGUGUAGCUGAGAGAAACAGAAACACAAAGCUGCAGUAAGCAUGAGAAGAAAGGCUGAGGACAUCUAGGGGUCACAAAAGAGGCCAGCAGAGAGAAGCUUCCUGUGGCGUGUCUGGCCUGUGGAGAGGGG